GGGUUUCUGCUAUUUCAAUGUUGGAGAUGCAGAAAACGACUGUACCUAUUCAGAUCCCACCGCUUCCGAGCGAUGGCUUUGUAACGGAUGCAGUGAACAUUAGUAAAGACAAUCAAUGUCAAGCACCGACUCCAAUAAUGGCGUACAUUCAUCUUGGGGAUUUGAAAGCUGGAUUUGGAUCUUAGUAAGUUUGACUAUGUUCUUUUCCUUUUGCUAACCUCAUGACUCAUCAUCAUAUCUGCUUUUUGCUAACCUCAUUGCCUCUAAUCCUCUGUUAUUUCAGCCCGCAUGUCUCAGAUGAUGAGGUUAAAUAACUUUGACUUUCUGAUUCUUACAUAUUUUUUUCCCUUUAGUUUAUAAUGAUCUUUUAUGCUGGUUUGGAUAGGAACUAGGCCUUGCAACUCAAAUAGUUCAUGUGAACAUGGCCUCUAAAGAUCAAUCAAUACUGUAGGCCAUCAAAGAGCUUGAUAUGUUAACCCAAAUACAAUGCCAGGCCUGAAUGAUCCAGCUAACUUCGCAUUACCUCAGCAGCUUCUGAACAGAUGCCUUUUCCCUGGAUCAGCACCUUAAAGCACCUUCAGAUCAUGUAUAAAUCCUCACUCAAUUGAUGUGGAUAAUAUCAAAACACCGACUACCUUGACAAGUACUCAGAGGCUGAAAGCAAGCUAGAUUUUGUCGAAAGAACACUAAGAUGGAGACAUCUUGCUCCCACUGCCUAGCACCUCAUACACUAGGAUGUUAUCCUUUCACCAAAAGAGACCCUUGAUUGAAACUUUGCCCUCAUGUCUACUUUGUUGGGAAUCAAGCAAAAUAUGACGACCGUUUAGUAAAAGGAUGAGAAGGUCAGCUGGUCAGGUUUAUAUGCAUUCCUAAAUUCUUUGAGACCGGUGUUGCUGUUGCGGUGAACUAAGGAAUCUGGAGUGUCACACUUAUAGCUUUAACAUUCAGUUAUAAAGUUAAUCACAACACUGUAAAAUGUUACAUCUCCAAGUCCUACCAAGCAGAUGUAUUUUAUGUACGACAAUGUAAGCAUUACGAUUAAACUAUA